UACAGAGGUCUCAAGCGUUGUUCGGAUUCAUUGGGCGUAAAGGGUGCGUAGGCGGCGCGGUAAGUCGGGUGUGAAAUCUCGGGGCUCAACCCCGAAACUGCACUUGAUACUGCGGUGCUCGAGUACUGGAGAGGAGAUUGGAAUUUACGGUGUAGCAGUGAAAUGCGUAGAUAUCGUAAGGAAGACCAGUGGCGAAGGCGAAUCUCUGGACAGUUACUGACACUGAGGCACGAAGGCCAGGGGAGCAAACGGG
rnacentral:rRNA from 1 species